rnacentral:rRNA from 1 species
UACGUAGGGUGCGAGCGUUGUCCGGAAUUACUGGGCGUAAAGAGCUCGUAGGUGGUUUGUCGCGUUUGUCCGUGAAAACUCACAACUCAAUUGUGGGCGUGCGGGCGAUACGGGCAGACUGGAGUACUGCAGGGGAGACUGGAAUUCCUGGUGUAGCGGUGGAAUGCGCAGAUAUCAGGAGGAACACCGGUGGCGAAGGCGGACUCCUGGGC